CCAAAAAUACAGCCGUAUAUUGAAAAACUUGAAGAAGAAGGUGGGUCAAAUCAAAAUUCAAGAGCUGCCAUUUUCAUGACACGAAACCAAUUAAUCCCAAAAAUAUGUGUUGAAAUACAAAUCCAUUCACACCCAGUUCGCGUUUUUGUUUUGUUGCUUUCUUUUUUGUUUGUGGGUUUUCUUAGGCUGUAAAACUUUUACAGUAGAAACAGGUGGACUUGCGUGAGAAAUUGGAGGGCAAUAAGGAAAAUCCGAUAUUGUUUGACACUGAAUUUGGAUCUAAGCGCAAAGACAGGAGAUGCUCGCAAUGCAAGUCAAAGACCGACCACGUUUCAUUACUCAAAUCUUGCGGCAAUAACAAGCCGACAAGCGGCCGACUCGUCGUGGCAGCCACUAAAAGCUCCAUCUCUCCGUCCAGUCCUUACGAAUUUUGUUCUUAUUCUGGCCUUUUGCCAAAGUUCCCUCUGCCAUCACAACAAGUAAGAGCAACAGCAAUACCAGUUUCCGAACCAAUCGAACAAGCUCCUCCUCCUCGUAAUUUGACAGCAAACGAGGAUUUGAUUUUGUGGACGUCCACGAGGACGAAGACGACCACGGCGUCAACGGCCGUACUGUUAAGAAGAGAAUGUCAGAUCAUUGAAAUCUCUUAUGUGAAGAAUUGGGAAAUGAAGAAGACGAACCCCUGAAAAUGAUUAUCAUUGCCCUCUAACGCAAUGACAGUGAGUAGUGAGGUGUAGGUGGAUCAGAAGCAUCCAACUUCCAAGCCGAGGAAGAAAAAAGCAGAAGAAGGGAGUAGUUCUGCAGUGCCAGCAGGAAAAACAAGUACUCCAAUACGAAAGAAGGCAGUCAGGCCAAGGAAAAGUAAGGUGGAUGGGGAACAGAUAAGGGAAGUAGCAUGUGACAUUAUCAAGUAGCAGCAUGAUGGGUGCUGAAGAAUUUAUCAUACGAGAAAAUGAAAAAGGCAAUCAAGUACUCCAGUACGGAAGAAGGUAUGCAGCCAAGAAAAAAUAUGGUGGAUCGGGAACAAUUGCAGCUGGUUGAUUUGCAGGACAACAGGAUAUCAUCAGUGACCUUGAAUUCUGAAUCUACAGAUUCAUUAAUGUGAGAUGGUUGAUUGACCUAAUUAAUUAGUGAUAGGAAUGGAAUCAUGGGUCUGUGUACUUGUCUAACAGCAAGUGUUCAGACUUGUAGGAAACCCAGUGUGCACGACUGCUCUAUCAAAUACUAACUACUAUCAGCUUCAGCAGCAACCCACAAAGCCGUAUUCUACCAGUUUGGCAAACUGUGGAAGCAAAUUGUGUCCGCUUGAUCAGAAGUUGAGCCCCCAGAGCUGUGAGUGUGGUUAUCCAUAUGAGGAGACAUUGUACUUCAGAGGACCUUCCUUUAGGGACUUAUCGAAUGUGAACUUGUUCCAUUCUCGGAUGGUGGAGGAGACAACAAGGAAGGGAAAGGGAAAGAGAAAAAGGGUGGAAGAAGAGUCCAAUAAGAAGAGUUUUGAAGAAGAUCUAUUCAUGAUGAUGUCGCAUUAAUCAAGUAAAGGCAUUGUGAUCGAUGACAAACGCAACAAGAGAAAUAGUAAUGAGGAGCAUCAAAAGAUAUAUAUUGGUGGUCUUUAUGGAAAAACCAAGAAGGACCUCAAACUCUUCUAUUAAUCUAAGUCUAGAAUCAUUUAUAAAGGAUGAAGCAUCAUGGAUACUGAAGAAUUUAUCAUAUGAGAAAAGGUAAAAGGCAAUAUAUAUGUACAUAGUUGGGAUGAUAUAUAUAUAUAUGUAUAUAUCUAUAUAUGCGCAUAAACUUAAGUGUUUUUUUUUUAAAUAUAAUCAUGUUUGGUAAUAAAUAAAGAGAAAAGUAUCUGCAAAUGAAAAUUUUAUCAUACCAGAAAGAGAGAACAAUAAUCAAGAUAUGCCCAUAUUUAUAUAUAGUGUUAUAUAUAUAUAUACACAUAUUUAGGUACAAGAACUUAUAGGAGACACGAUUUAGGAUGUAAUUCAUAUCAAUCAAGUAUAAGAACCUAUUGUAAUAUAUAUGCACAUAUUUAUAUAUUACAUAGUUGAUGUUAUAUAUAUGUGUAUUAUUUACAUAUUUGUUGAUAAAAACUAGAGAUCGCAGAGGAUCCCCAAACCAAACCCACGAUACAUGGGUUAACCGUAGAUAAAGGACCGACCUUUUGUGCAUCUUUUACACGUGCUUCACUUCAGCACAUUUCGCACGUGCUUGCAACCAACUCCAACAAAAGAGGUUACCCAAAAUCUCGGCCAAGCUACUCUCCACUUUUAGAUUUUCAGUAUUUAUUUGAUUUUAUUGAUUUGCUUCAAUCUUUAGUUCUUAUCUUAAGUUGUAACUCUGUCUAUUUAAAGGCAGCACAAUUCAUUAAUAAAACAGCUCAUAAUUAUUCAAAUCUUCUGGUAUUUUCUCACAAAAACAGAAAAACCCUUACCCUUUCUUAAGCCUUACCCUUACCCUUACCCUUUUC